rnacentral:rRNA from 1 species
CCUGACGCAGCGACGCCGCGUGAGUGAAGAAGGUUUUCGGAUCGUAAAACUCUGUUGUCAGAGAAGAACAAGUUGGAGAGUAACUGCUCCAGCCUUGACGGUAUCUGACCAGAAAGCCACGGCUAACUACGUGCCAGCAGCCGCGGUAAUACGUAGGUGGCAAGCGUUGUCCGGAUUUAUUGGGCGUAAAGCGAGCGCAGGCGGUUCCUUAAGUCUGAUGUGAAAGCCCACGGCUCAACCGUGGAAGGUCAUUGGAAACUGGGGAACUUGAGUGCAGAAGAGGAGAGUGGAAUUCCAUGUGUAGCGGUGAAAUGCGUAGAUAUAUGGAGGAACACCAGUGGCGAAGGCGACUCUCUGGUCUGUAACUGACGCUGAGGCUCGAAAGCGUGGGGAGCAAACAGGAUUAGAUACCCUGGUAGUCCACGCCGUAAACGAUGAGUGCUAAGUGUUGGAGGGUUUCCACCCUUCAGUGCUGCAGCUAACGCAUUAAGCACUCCGCCUGGGGAGUACGGCCGCAAGGCUGAAACUCAAAGGAAUUGACGG